UACGUAGGUGGCAAGCGUUGUCCGGAAUUACUGGGCGUAAAGCGCACGUAGGCGGCUGAUUAAGCUAGCUGUGAAAGCCCCGGGCUCAACCUUGGAAUUGCAUCCGAUACUGGCACGCUAGAGUGCAGUAGAGGGAGGUGGAAUUUCCGGUGUAGCGGUGAAAUGCGUAGAGAUCGGAAGGAACACCAGUGGCGAAGGCGGCCUCCUGGACUGACACUGACGCUGAGGAGCGAAAGCGUGGGGAGCAAACAGG
rnacentral:misc_RNA from 1 species